rnacentral:lncRNA from 1 species
GGACUCGUAUGGCAGUUAAGUGACCUCUCUAAAAGCAAAUCUCAUCACGCCUAAGGGCUUGUACUCAGUCCAGACUCCUGGCUCUGACCCACAAGGCCAUGCUUCACCUGAUUGUGCAACUGACCAAUCUGGAUUCCUCCCCUUCCUUGGGGCCUGAGGGAAUUCUUGGGACACUGUAUAGCUCCCAUUUCCAUGCCCUUUGCUCAUUGUACUUGCUCUGCCUGGAAUUCUUCAUGUUUCUACCUAAGGAGCCCCCUGUCCCACCAAUCCAAGGUAAGAGUGGUCAUCCUCUUACAAUAGUCAGGCUGUGUUGAAAGGGCUUCUUGAUGCUUCUGUCCAUGCCUGAAAGCAUGAAAGCAGGGUCUGCAUCUUAAUAAUAGAAUCCAACAUCAAUUAGGCUGUGGAGUUGAUAAUCCAUUAUCUCAUUGGA